rnacentral:rRNA from 1 species
CACGUAGGGGGCGAGCGUUGUCCGGAUUUAUUGGGCGUAAAGAGCUCGUAGGCGGCUCAGUAAGUCAGGUGUGAAAACUCCAGGCUCAACCUGGAGACGCCACUUGAUACUGCUGUGGCUAGAGUCCGGUAGGGGAGCAUGGAAUUCCUGGUGUAGCGGUGAAAUGCGCAGAUAUCAGGAGGAACACCAGUGGCGAAGGCGGUGCUCUGGGCCGGAACUGAACGCUGAGGAGCGAAAGCGUGGGGAGCAAACAGG